ACAACGGCCCUAUUUAGGGCCACCACAUUGUGACUUUCGGUGUUCGU
rfam:Opisthorchis viverrini opera_v5_113.10, whole genome shotgun sequence.